UACGUAGGGGGCAAGCGUUGUCCGGAUUUACUGGGCGUAAAGAGCGCGCAGGCGGUCGUCCAAGUCGCGUGUGAAAGCCCCCCGGCUCAACUGGGGAGGGUCACGCGAUACUGGUCGACUCGAAGGCAGGAGAGGGUAGUGGAAUUCCCGGUGUAGUGGUGAAAUGCGUAGAUAUCGGGAGGAACACCAAUUGCGAAGGCAGCUCGCUGGGACGUUACUGACGCUGAGACGCGAAAGCGUGGGGAGCAAACAGG
rnacentral:rRNA from 1 species